ensembl:lncRNA
CCCCCUCUACUUCCUUCCCCUUUAAAGCUCUGCUUGAAUCGCACCUGUUUCCAGGACAUGUCCGGAGCUGAGCUUGCCUAGUUGGAAUUCAUCGCUCCUUCCCCAUCACGCCCCUCGCCUGCUGCCUGAACUAAAGGAGAACAGAUUUCUUUCUGUUUUGUGCCAGUUAUUCACAUGAACUUUAGCCUCCCUCUGAGAUUUCAAGUUCCUAGAGGAGACGGUCAGGUUCUGUGCUCUCUGUAAACCCUAGAUCACUGUUCUAAAUUCUACAGAUAAUUUUUGACUACCUUCCACCUGCCAAGCACUGAGUUAGACAGGUCCCAGGAAGUAGGUCAAUAAGCCACCUCCCCUGCCCACAGGGAAGUCACAACAUAACCAGGGGACUGUAUGGCUGAGAAUGUUCUCAUCUGCUCAGCACCCAUUCCUUUUUCGGGAAAUGAUCUUACCCUUCCUUAAAAAAAUCAUUGCUGUCGUCACUGGGGUCACUGGCCCGGCCCCCACCCCCACCCUGUGUCCACGCCCUUUGCCUUGUGACUUUGCUGCACCGAAGUUCCCCAUCCCUGGACUUCCCGCUCAGCCACAUGACCUGCUUUAGCCCAUAGAACAGUCUAGAAUUCUGUGUGCCACUUCCAAGACCCACCAGGACUUCCAUUCCCCUCCUGCACCCCUGUCACUGCCCUGAGAAGAGCUUCCCCAUCAGCCUGGGGACCAGAAUAAAGCACAUUGAUGAAACAGGCCUGAACGGAACCCACCACCAGGAGCUUGGCCUAGCCCCGACCUAAAGCAUAAAUAACCGCCCAUUGGCCAACAUCCAGCCAACCUGCAGUGGCAGAAAAAGUAAAUACCUACUGAACUUUCCCCCUGAGAUGUUGUGGUUGUACGUUUUGCAACAAUAGAUGAUCUGUAGGUUGGGCCCUUCCCUUCUCUCCUUGUCCUCUGCCACGCUCCGGCCUUUACACAGGAGCUUGAAGUGUGAUCUGGAUAGGAUUGCCAUCUUCCUAUAGCCUCACUAAACCAGAGCCUCCGUCCUCUGUCUUAGGGUAACCAGGGGACCCAAGAAGGAACAAGCAGAAUCCUUCCUUGAAACCUUUCACAUUAAAACCCAGGAGAGGAGUUCCCGUCGUGGCGCAGUGGUUAACGAAUCCGACUAGGAACCAUGAGGUUGCGGGUUUGGUCCCUGCCCUUGCUCAGUGGGUUAACGAUCCGGCGUUGCCGUGAGCUGUGGUGUAGGUUGCAGACGUGGCUCGGAUCCCACGUUGCUGUGGCUCUGGCGUAGGCCGGUGGCUACAGCUCCGAUUCGACGCCUAGCCUGGGAACCUCCACAUGCCGUGGGAGUGGCCCAAGAAAUAGCGAAAAGACAAAAAAAAUAAAUAAAUAAAUAAACCCAGGAGAAUGCUUAAGCCCCCCUGGCAAAUAUGAUUCCAUCUUUCUGGUGAGAGACGACACAUCAUGGACAGAAAAGAGGAGAGACUGUGACAGACAGAGGCAGGGAACAGAAACAGAGGGACACCCCAAGACCAGUGGUCAAGGCCCUAAUGGAGAAUCUGGGGGUCUGGGAGGGACCCUAAUUCUGCUCUCCUCAAGCUUGGUGGUUCAACAUCACCUGCAGUUUUGUGAGCCAACACAGGGUCCAGGGAACUUCCUUUUUAGCUUAAGUUGAUUCAAGUUUCUGCAACCUUGAAAACUCUAGAGACAAAGAUAAAGAGGCAAUGGAGGGAGUUCCCGUUAUGGAGCAGUGGAAACGAAUGCGACUAGGAACCACGAGGUUUCGGGUUUUAUCCCCAGCCUCGCUCAGUGGGUUAAGGAUCCAGCUUUGCCCUGAGCUAGGGUGUAGGUCACAGAUGCGGCUCAGAUCCUGUGUGGCUGUGGCUGUGGCUGUGGCUGUUGCUGUGGCUGUGGUGGGCAACUGUAGCUCCAAUUGGACCCCUAGCCUGGGAACCUCCGUAUGCCACAGAUACUGCCCUAAAAAAAAAAAAAAAUAAUAGGCAAUGGAGUCUGGGAAAGCUAUCAAAGGGACACAAGGGAGGGCCGGGGGGAAGCACAGAAAAGAAGGUCCCCGGCCCAGUUCAGAGAGUUAGAGAAGGUUCUGUAGGCAGGGGCAACUCAGCGGACAACUAAAGUGUCAGCAGGAGUUGGCCAGCAGAGACGCCAAAAUGGAAGAGCCUCUGAAAGGCCUGAAGAAACAAGUUGGGGACGUGAACAAGGGCCAGCAUGGGGGGGCCUUAUACAUCAAACUAAAGAGGUGGGGCUUCUCCUAACAGCAGGAAGGAGGCUUGAUGGACCAAAGCAGGGUGGAGUAGCCUCUGAGAGGGCUUUUCUUCUGGCUGCGGGUGAAGAAUGGGGUCAAGAAUCUAGUUAGAAAGUUGUCGAAAGCCUCCAGACAUGAGAUGAAGGUCUCCUCGAUUUGGGCAGAGGCCUUAGGCUUUCACAUAGGGCUUACUCAGAGUCAGUACGUGACUGCAGAAUUGAAAAUGCAAAGCCAUUUACUCAAACUCUCUUUGAGGGGGGCGGCACCUUCCACUUAAGAUCACAAGGAACGGUGCUUUGGUGAGGGGGUGACUGUUGGGCCCCUUGCUCUCACUUCUCCUCCUGGGGGACUCUUCUGAACGGUACCACUAGGGAUGUCACCGCCCUCGGGCCACCACCUCCUUCUCAUUGCUCAAGAUGUGCUGUGUUGCAUUUACCCAGAAUAAAAUGAUUGUCAUUUACUUACCUAGCAGCUGUCAAAGCCUGAAAUUUCAUUCUGUAGGCGUAAGCAAUUUUUACCCCCGGUAAAUGUGGCUUCAUCUCGAGUUUCUUAUCUGCCAGCAGCCGUGAACAGAGCUGCUGUAGUGGCACUUCCUUUUGCUACGAGCGACAAUUAGAGACCAAUUCUGCCCCAGUACAAAUGCCUCUGUGAGUGAUUGUCACUCUUGAGUCACGAGCUCAGGAGCUGGAAUAGAUUUGCCGGAAGACCUUGGAUGAAGAAGCGGCUCAGUGAAAUAGAACAGCACCCCAUUGGGGGAAAAAUAACUGUUGGCUGCUCUCCUUUGGGAGCUGGCAGGGGGAAAGAAUUCUGUUUCUUGGGGCAGACAAGUGGGACACUGGCUCUGGGAGAACUCAGGGUCCAACCCUUUAUUGAGGAAGAUGCAUUCAAAAGGAAUUUGUAAGGCAAAGAGCUGCAAUGAGCAGAAUUGCAUUUCCCUGAGUUGGCCUCCUUCCUCAGGCACCUCUGGAUGCGAACACGCCAGCCGGAUUGUACCCAGAAAGUGGAAGGGAAGAGGGUGGAGCAAGAAGGAGAGCACAGUUGGUUCCUGGGUUGUACAGGCAAGCACGCUGGUGUUCACUGGAUCCACUCUCCCGGUGGUAUCUCCCAGGCGUCUCCCUCCAGGCCCCAGUGUAGACAGGAACCAGACCAGCCCUGGGCACCUCCCAGCUGGCCUCCCGGAUGCCAGAGGGCCUUGGCUUUGACAUCCACAGGCAGCAUCCCCUGGGAGGGGGUACAAGGGCUCACCACCGGGUCUUCUCCCCAACCCGGCCUGGGGGUCUCUUGCCCCAUGCACAUAAUGAGGUCGCACUUCAGCAAUGCCUUUGUUAGACCCCAAUGAUGUCCCCACCCUCCUGACAAAGCAGCUUUUGUGUCUUAUGUCAAAAUAAUCACUUACCCAAAAUGAUGGCCAGGCUUAGAAAUAGCCCUGCUUUAUCCUCAGGGAAUAGAAAAAAAAAAAAAAA